CCGCCCUUUCUCCAACCCGUUCUUCCGGCGUGUAUUUCUCUUCCAGUUCCUUUCUUGCUGCGAUGGCGAUGACACGCGUUUUAGGUUGGCAGCUGUGGAGCUAUGAGAUGGCAUUGCUGUAUCAAGAUGGCAGCAACAGAACACUUCAUUCGGUGCUUACUAAAGGUCCGGCUGUUCUGACACAGGUCGUGGUUCCCUUUCAGCAUGCUCUUUCGGCUUCGUGCAAGCUACAAUAUUUACUUCCUCAUAUAUCAGCAUUCUCUGGUGAUGGAUGAAUUGUACUUCGCAUAUUUUGGCGAGGGUUAGCAUGGUGCUGUGUGUUGCAGCUGUUCUGACAAAGGUCGUGGUUCCCUUUCGGUUUCAUGCAAGUUACAAUAUUUCCUCAUGUAAUCUACAAUAAAUAACCUGAAUAGGUAAAUACUAAGGUGUGAGAGCUGCAUAUUUCCUUGAAACAGGGUAUUUUAAAUCACCUGGAUGUGUGGAUCUGCAAAGCUGAAGGCUGACCUCCAUUUCUGCAGUACUGUGUCAAUUUGGCUGGGCAUGUGGAGUUCACUGUGAUCAUUUUGUAUUCAGUGAAUAAAGAAUUAUAUUUUUUA